GCCCGGGUGGUGGAAUUGGUAGACACAAGGGACUUAAAAUCCCUUUCUAUUAUUAGAGUGCGGGUUCGAGUCCCGCCCCGGGCA
rnacentral:tRNA from 1 species